rnacentral:misc_RNA from 1 species
AAGGGUAGCUCCGCCCAUGUUCCUGGCUAUUUGACUUAUCAACAAGUUUCUGAAUGUUUUGUCCAGGCUAUACUCACAGCUUAAGAACCAUUUUAAGGCCAAUCAACAAGUUGGGAAGUACAUUUCUUACAACUUGGUGAUGGUACAUGGAUUGAGCAGAAUUAAACUGGACAUCUUAUGUCUCGUUUAUGGAGCCAAAAAUCAGUCUAAAGUAGAAUCACUAUGCUGACAGUGUAUGGGGGGGCCUUCCCGCUUAUGCACCUUCAUUUAUAUUAUUUCUGUUCGCUAUGCUGACAGUGUAUAGAAUA